UUAGAGUUUGAUCCUGGCUCAGGAUGAACGCUAGCGGCAGGCUUAACACAUGCAAGUCGAGGGGCAGCGAGAUCAGUGCUUGCACUGAUUGUCGGCGACCGGCGCACGGGUGCGUAACGCGUAUGCAACCUACCCAUUACAGGGGGAUAACACUGAGAAAUCGGUACUAAUACCCCAUAACAUCCAGGGAGGCAUCUUCUUGGGUUGAAAACUCCGGUGGUAAUGGAUGGGCAUGCGUUGUAUUAGUUAGUUGGUGGGGUAACGGCUCACCAAGACAACGAUACAUAGGGGGACUGAGAGGUUAACCCCCCACAUUGGUACUGAGACACGGACCAAACUCCUACGGGAGGCAGCAGUGAGGAAUAUUGGUCAAUGGACGCAAGUCUGAACCAGCCAUGCCGCGUGCAGGAAGACGGCUCUAUGAGUUGUAAACUGCUUUUGUACGAGGGUAAACGCAGAUACGCGUAUCUGUCUGAAAGUAUCGUACGAAUAAGGAUCGGCUAACUCCGUGCCAGCAGCCGCGGUAAUACGGAGGAUUCAAGCGUUAUCCGGAUUUAUUGGGUUUAAAGGGUGCGUAGGCGGUCGGAUAAGUUAGAGGUGAAAUCCCGGGGCUCAACUUCGGAAUUGCCUCUGAUACUGUUCGGCUAGAGAGUAGUUGCGGUAGGCGGAAUGUAUGGUGUAGCGGUGAAAUGCUUAGAGAUCAUACAGAACACCGAUUGCGAAGGCAGCUUACCAAGCUACUUCUGACGUUGAGGCACGAAAGCGUGGGGAGCAAACAGGAUUAGAUACCCUGGUAGUCCACGCAGUAAACGAUGAUAACUCGUUGUCGGCGAUACAGUGUCGGUGACUAAGCGAAAGCGAUAAGUUAUCCACCUGGGGAGUACGUUCGCAAGAAUGAAACUCAAAGGAAUUGACGGGGGCCCGCACAAGCGGAGGAACAUGUGGUUUAAUUCGAUGAUACGCGUGGAACCUUACCCGGGCUUGAAAGUUAGUGACGGAUCUUGAAAGAGGUCUUCCCUUCGGGGCACGAAACUAGGUGCUGCAUGGUUGUCGUCAGCUCGUGCCGUGAGGUGUCGGGUUAAGUCCCAUAACGAGCGCAACCCCUACCGUUAGUUGCCAGCAGGUCAAGCUGGGCACUCUGACGGGACUGCCGGUGUAAGCCGAGAGGAAGGUGGGGAUGACGUCAAAUCAGCACGGCCCUUACGUCCGGGGCUACACACGUGUUGCAAUGGCAGGUACAGAGGGCAGCUACCCAGCGAUGGGAUGCGAAUCUCGAAAGCCUGUCUCAGUUCGGAUUGGAGGCUGAAACCCGCCUCCAUGAAGUUGGAUUCGCUAGUAAUCGCGCAUCAGCCAUGGCGCGGUGAAUACGUUCCCGGGCCUUGUACUCACCGCCCGUCA
rnacentral:rRNA from 1 species